AACGAACGCUGGCGGCAGGCCUAACACAUGCAAGUCGAGCGAGGACUUCGGUCCUAGCGGCGGACGGGUGAGUAACGCGUGGGAACGUGCCCUUUGCUUCGGAAUAGCCCUGGGAAACUGGGGGUAAUACCGGAUGAGCCCUGUGGGGGAAAGAUUUAUCGGCGGAGGAUCGGCCCGCGUUGGAUUAGGUAGUUGGUGGGGUAAUGGCCUACCAAGCCGACGAUCCAUAGCUGGGUUGAGAGGAUGAUCAGCCACACUGGGACUGAGACACGGCCCAGACUCCUACGGGAGGCAGCAGUGGGGAAUCUUAGACAAUGGGGGAAACCCUGAUCUAGCCAUGCCGCGUGAGCGAUGAAGGCCUUAGGGUUGUAAAGCUCUUUCAGCUGGGAAGAUAAUGACGGUACCAGCAGAAGAAGCCCCGGCUAACUCCGUG
rnacentral:rRNA from 1 species